rnacentral:misc_RNA from 1 species
GAUGAAGAGCGCAGCGAAAUGCGAUAAGUAGUGUGAAUUGCAGAAUUCAGUGAAUCAUCGAAUCUUUGAACGCACAUUGCGCCCCUUGGUAUUCCAUGGGGCAUGCCUGUUCGAGCGUCAUUUGUACCUUCAAGCUCUGCUUGGUGUUGGGUGUUUGUCUCGCCUCUGCGUGUAGACUCGCCUCAAAACAAUUGGCAGCCGGCGUAUUGAUUUCGGAGCGCAGUACAUCUCGCGCUUUGCACUCAUAACGACGACGUCCAAAAGUACAUUUUUACACUCUUGACCUCGGAUCAGGUAGGGAUACCCGCUGAACUUAAGCAUAUCAAUAAGCGGAGGA